AUUGAACGCUGGCGGCAUGCCUUACACAUGCAAGUCGAACGGUAACAGGUCUUCGGAUGCUGACGAGUGGCGAACGGGUGAGUAAUACAUCGGAACGUGCCUAGUAGUGGGGGAUAACUACUCGAAAGAGUGGCUAAUACCGCAUGAGAUCUACGGAUGAAGGCAGGGGAUCGCAAGACCUUGUGCUACUAGAGCGGCCGAUGGCAGAUUAGGUAGCUGGUGGGAUAAAAGCUUACCAAGCCGACGAUCUGUAGCUGGUCUGAGGGGACGAUCAGCCACACUGGGACUAGGACACGGCCCAGACUCCUACAGGAGGCAGCAGUGGGGAAUUUUGGACAAUGGGCGCAAGCCUGAUCCAGCAAUGCCGCGUGCAGGAUGAAGUCCUUCGGGUUGUAAACUGCUUUUGUACGGAACGAAAAGCCCCGGGUUAAUACCCUGGGGUCAUGACGGUACCGUAAGAAUAAGCACCGGCUAACUACGUGCCAGCCGCCGGCGUAA
rnacentral:rRNA from 1 species